GGUCGGUUAGCUCAGUGGUUUGAGCGCAGUGCUGACAAGGACCAACACAGAGGUCGUGGGUUCGAUUCCCACUCGGUCCC
rfam:Apaloderma vittatum contig29569, whole genome shotgun sequence.